AUAUAUGUUUGGGCGGGUGUUUACAAUUUGAAAGUGAAAAGAAAGGUGUGUGGUGGGAGAAUGGAGAGAGAAAGAUUAAAAACCUGUUAAUUUCAGAUCUAUUUCUUCACUUUUUUUCAUCUCCUCCUCUUUCUCCCAUUCUCCUUUUUUAUCCGAUUGUACAUCUAUAUCUAUUAUUUUGUUAUGUAUCAAGAUACCGAUUUUUUUAUGAAUAUGAGUUGUUGGGUUUUGUUGGAUUAGGUAUUUUUGUUGUUGUUGGGUUUUGUUGAAUUUAUGUGGGUGCACACCAAGUGUUUGUGAAAAGUUUUUUAGAAGCAUAAUGAGCCAUUUCAGGUUAUUAUUCUAUACUCUUCUUCUUUCUUUCUUUUUUUCACUUAAAUUUUUAGGUAUGAACAUGACUUUUUUAAAUUAGGGACUUUUGAUGAAAAUGGUGAUAAGAGUUAAGUUUUCAAAGUCUUUUUCUCUGUAGUUUUUUGGUCAGCAAGUAACAAACCACAAUCAAUGGGGUUCUUAGGGUUUUGGUCGAAUCUAAGAGCAAGCUGGAAAAAAAAUUUGAAUUUUGGAAUGAUACUAUGAUAGUAAUUUGUGAUUACGUUUUCUUGCUCUUUGAACACUUGCUAUUUGAUGAUAAUUGAUUAGGUGUCCUAACUUUUCAUAUUUUUCUCAUAUACUGAAACAAAGCCACUGGUGAUAAUUGUCCCUUUGAGGUUAUUAUUCUACACUCCUCUUCCUUUUUUUUUCUCUUAAAAUAUGGGUAUCAACAUCACUUUUGGAAUGAAAAACUGAGAGAGGCUGCAGUAGGACUGCAUCCUGGCAUAUGAGUGGUUAUCUAUUUGCAGAAAAAUAGUUCCAGCAAUAAUAUAUGCUGAGGAGAGGCUGCAACAGGACUUUAUUUGUCAUCUUUGUAACCUCGAACAAAAGGUUGCAGCAGGACUUCAUUUGUCAUCUUUGUAUAUGUAGUUCAAUUUCCGAUUUUGAGAAAAAAAUUUAGAAAAACUUUGAUUUCUAAUCAACAUGAGAAAACUUUGAUUUUUAAGAUCGAAGAUGUUGGAGAUUCUGUUCGCUAUAAUAGCUGGAGGGGAUCAACAGAAUAUUUAUGAAAAUCUCGAUCAAAAGGCAGGUGAGCUGAAGCCUGAUCAAGUGGAGAUAUCCAAGCAGAUGGUCUCUUACAAGCCCCAAACAAUAACUCCAUGUAAACAUUGUUCAGUGAGGCAUUUGUUACAAAAACGGUCAGCUCAAAGUUCAGUGAUCCUCAGUUUAAUAUGGAUGUCAUGAAGCUUCUUCAAAUCGAGCAGCUAAUGGAUCAAUAUGUUAUGAAUCUUUCUGGUGGUAGAUUGCAAAGAGUUGCAUUGUGCCUUUGCCAAGCCUACUGAUAUUUACCUGAUAGAUGAACCAAGUGCAUAUCUCGAUUCAGAACAACGUGUUGUUGCUUCAAAAUUUAUAAGGAGAUUUAUACUACACAAUAAGAAGACUGCAUUUGUAGUUGAACAUGACUUCAUAAUGGCAACUUAUUUAGCAGAUAGGGUGAUCGUGUAUGAAAGGACACCAGCUGUUGAUUGUGUUGCAAAUGCCCCUUAGUCCUUAUUGUCCGGAAUGAAUCUCUUCUUAUCUGAACCUGGGACUUUUGUCAUUACCUUCCCUAUAUCUUAUCACGGAGGCUAAAAUUGUGCUGAAGCCGUCAAUUUUGCACUAACUGAAUGGUUAAUAAGUCGCGCUAAGUUGAACUUUUAGCAGGACAUGGAACUAUAAAGAGUUGGUUCACCAACUCUAAUUUAAAAGGUAAUUCAAAGGGUAUGGUUAAGUUCAAGAGGUACAGUGUAUAUACUGUCCAAAAAGUGCGUGAUGAUCCAAAUAUACUUGUUGAGUUGGCCAAGAAGGAUGCUGUCAACGAGAUACUACGCUAAGUCUAUAGGUUAAAGAACCAGAAAAUAUUACUUUGGUGUCGCAUUAACAUGAAUUGCAACAUUCAUCAUCAUUCUUAGGUCUCUCAAGAAACACAAAAUGCAGGAAUAUCAACUAUUAAGCUUUCUGAAUCAUCACAAGGUGGACUGGAUUCAAAGGAUGCAUUCUCUGUUAUCGGCGAAUUUUUAGCCGUAGAUCUUGAGGACACAGACACAAAUCCGCUACAAAAAAAGGGUUAAUGAAACUCCAGUUGCUGAGUCAACCACGCGAUGCUCCAAAAAUGGUCCGGAAGAUGGUCAUCCCAGCCGACGUUUAGAAGCUACUUCUAAAGUCUUUAUAUUUUAUGUUGUCAUGAAACUCUUUAUUAUAUUUUAUGUUCUGUAAUAUGUACUUUGGUUGUCAAAGACAUGCUUAGUUUGUAACCUGUGAUAUUUUGGUCGUUUUUUGUAUCAAAUGUAAAAGCAUGUGUGUAUGAACAACUUAGCUUGUAUCUUGAUGGAAGCCUUUUGGUAACUAAA